GGUGGUGUGGUGUAAUGGUAGCACGUGACGUUGUGGUUUACCCACACUUGUUCCGUUUCAAUCUGGGUUCGAUUCCCAGCACCGCCA
rnacentral:tRNA from 1 species